rnacentral:rRNA from 1 species
CCCUUAGAUGUCCUGGGCCGCACGCGCGCUACACUGAUGCAUUCAACGAGUUUUACCUUGGCCGAGAGGCCUGGGCAAUCUUUUAAACCUGCAUCGUGAUAGGGAUAGAUUAUUGCAAUUAUUAAUCUUGAACGAGGAAUUCCUAGUAAACGCAAAUCAUCAAUUUGCAUUGAUUACGUCCCUGCCCUUUGUACACACCGACCGUCGCACCUACCGAUUGAAUGGUCCGGUGAAGCCUCGGGAUUGUGGCCAGUUCACUUUAUUGGGAGUUGGCUGUGAGAACUUGUCUAAACCUUAUCAUUUAGAGGAAGGUGAAGUCGUAACA